rnacentral:tRNA from 1 species
CUUGGCUUGGCUCAGUGGAUAGAGCAUCAGCCUGUGGACUGAAGAGUCCUGGGUUCGAUUCCAGUCAAGG